GAUGAACGCUGGCGGCGUGCCUAAUACAUGCAAGUCGAGCGAACAGACGAGGAGCUUGCUCCUUUGACGUUAGCGGCGGACGGGUGAGUCACACGUGGAUCCCCUACCUAUAUGUCUGGGAUCACUACGGAAAACCGGAUCUAAUACCGGAUAAUAUAUUGAACCGCAUGGUUCAAUAGUGAAUGUCGGUUUUGCUGUCUCUUCUAGAUGGUUCCGCGCCGCAUUAGCUAGUUGGUAAGGUAACGGCUUACCAAGGCUACGAUGCGUAGCCGACCUGAGAGGGUGAUCGGCCACACUGGAACGGAGACACGGUCCAGACUCCUACGGGAGGCAGCAGUAGGGAAUCUGCCGCAAUGGGCGAAAGCCUGACGGAGCAACGCCGCGUGAGUGAUGAAGGUCUUCGGAUCGUAAAACUCUGCUAUUAGGGAAGAACAAAUGUGGAAGUAACUAUGCACGUCUUGACGGUACCUAAUCAGAAAGCCACGGCUAACUACGUG
rnacentral:rRNA from 1 species